rnacentral:rRNA from 1 species
UACGUAGGGGGCAAGCGUUGUCCGGAAUUAUUGGGCGUAAAGAGCGCGUAGGCGGUCCGGUAAGUCGGCUGUGAAAGUCAAGGGCUCAACCCUUGAAAGCCGGCCGAUACUGUCGGACUAGAGUCCGGAAGAGGAGAGUGGAAUUCCCGGUGUAGCGGUGAAAUGCGCAGAUAUCGGGAAGAACACCCGUGGCGAAGGCGGCUCUCUGGGACGGUACUGACGCUGAGACGCGAAAGCGUGGGGAGCGAACAGG